UUAAGCAUAUCAAUAAGCGGAGGAAAAGAAACUAACAAGGAUUCCCCUAGUAACUGCGAGUGAAGCGGGAAAAGCUCAAAUUUAAAAUCUGGUGGCUUUAUAGUCAUCCGAGUUGUAAUUUAGAGGAGCGUCUUCCGCGCUGGACCAUGCACAAGUCUCCUGGAAUGGAGCGUCAUAGAGGGUGAGAAUCCCGUCUUUGG
rnacentral:rRNA from 1 species